UACAGAGGGGGCAAGCGUUGUUCGGAAUUACUGGGCGUAAAGGGCUCGUAGGCGGCCAACUAAGUCGGACGUGAAAUCCCUCGGCUUAACCGGGGAACUGCGUCUGAUACUGGAUGGCUUGAAUCCGGGAGAGGGAUGCGGAAUUCCAGGUGUAGCGGUGAAAUGCGUAGAUAUCUGGAGGAACACCGGUGGCGAAGGCGGCAUCCUGGACCGGCAUUGACGCUGAGGAGCGAAAGCCAGGGGAGCAAACGGG
rnacentral:rRNA from 1 species